CGGGAAAGAAAAUGCAAUUUAUACUUUGCUAGCUAAGUACUUAUCUUCAACCUAGCCUGGAUAUAUGUAUGCAUCGUGUCUGCCUCCAUCACGAUCAGUCACUUGCGAGCCUGAUACCGUGAACCACACAUAGCUAAUGUGCUUUAUACGUGUAACAUUAGCUAGGCUACUUGUUUGUUUUGCCAUUUUAUAGUUAGCUAACGGCUGCGCUAACGAACCAGAUUGCAAGCUAGUAGCUAGUCUAUUUAUGCUACCAGCUGGCUAACGGCUAACGGCUGCGCUAACGAACCAGAUUGCAAGCUAGUAGCUAGCUAUUUAUGCUACCAGCUGGCUAACGGCUAACGGCUGCGCUAACGAACCAGAUUGCAAGCUAGUAGCUAGCUAUUUAUGCUACCAGCUGGCUAGCUGUACAGUUUUUUGUUUGACAUGGCUUUCCCUGAUUCGAUAGCUGUCCACGAUGCGUUCAUUCUCCUCGCCAGCUUCUUUGCAUUGUGCCUCAAGUUUGGGUUUGCGUUUGUGGAGGCAGGCAAAACAGAUCCAAAGAACGUCUCCAAUGUCAUCUUUAAAAAUGUAGCAGACACAUUUGUCACCUUGCUGGCUUUCUUUCUCCAUGGCUAUGCAUUUGCCUUUGGGGAGCACAACGCUGUUAUCGGAACCCAAUUCUUCCUCACACUGAACAAGACAAACAUGGUAAACUUCUUCUUCAACUAUGUCCGCUGUGCUAUAGCCACUACUCUGGCACUAGGGGCUGCCAACGAGAGGACAGAACCAAUCGGCUACCUCAUAUCCGCAUACGUUUUCUCAGGAAUAAUCUACCCUCUGGCUUGUCACUGGGUCUGGGACCAGCAAGGCAUCUUCAGUCCAACCUCCACCUCCUACCCAUCACAGGACUAUGCAGGCAGCGGUGUGAUCUUCUUGCUGGGUGGUGCAGCGGCAGCUGUCUCACUGCGGGUUAUAGGAUCACGGGCUGGACGCUGGAGUCCCCAUUUCAAACGGACAGAGCACAGCCAGCCUAUGGUGGUGCUGGGAGGAUGCCUUCAAAUGCUGGGCUUCUUGGGCCUGGUGAUAGGCACUCACCCCCGUGUGUUGGAUGCUGAUGAGGGCCUGUUACUGGGGCUAGGCACUGUAAACUUGCUGCAUGCUGCUACAAGCGGAGGACUCUACGGACUAAUGAUCCAACGCAUCGAUAAGAACUACUAUGAUCUCGACAGCAUGCUCUCUGGGGCCAUUGCUGGCAUGGUGGCAGUGUGUGCAGGAGUAGACACCUACAUGCCUGGUGUGGCAGUCAUGUGUGGGGCCACUGGAUCUCUCCUCUUUAUUGGCUUUCGCCGCUUCCUCUGUGCUGUGAGGGUGGAUGACCCCCUUAACAUCAUCUCCGGGUACUUAAUUCCAGGGGCCUGGGGCUUGAUGCUUGCAGGUUUAUUCUCUGAUCAUGGGGCUCUUGGAGGACAUAUCCAGGUGUUGGGGAACAAUUGCAUUGUGGCACUGGUGUUAUUCUUCUGGGCAGUGGCUAUUAUGUACCCUCUUCUCUCCAUACUCAUGUGUUUUGGAGUGCUGCGAGUCCCCCGCUUUAUGGAGAAACAAGGAAUAGACAAAAUCAGACACACGCUAAGACACCCUCACGGCACCAGGAAGUCACUGAACUAA
ensembl:lncRNA